rnacentral:rRNA from 1 species
UACGGAGGAUGCGAGCGUUAUCCGGAUUUAUUGGGUUUAAAGGGUGCGUAGGCGGACGCUUAAGUCAGCGGUAAAAUUGCGGGGCUCAACCUCGUCGAGCCGUUGAAACUGGGUGCCUUGAGUGGGCGAGAAGUACGCGGAAUGCGUGGUGUAGCGGUGAAAUGGAUAGAUAUCACGCAGAACUCCGAUUGCGAAGGCAGCGUACCGGCGCCCUACUGACGCUGAAGCACGAAGGCGUGGGUAUCGAACAGG